AAUCAACGCUGGCGGCGUGCCUAACACAUGCAAGUCGAACGAGAAAGCCCCGCAAGGGAUAAGUAAAGUGGCGACCGGGUGAGUAACACGUGGAUAACCUAUCACCGAGUGGGGAAUAACCCUGGGAAACCGGGGCUAAUACCGCAUAACACUUUUGAACUUCGGUUUGGGAGUUGAAACCCGCAAGGGGCUUGGCGAGGGGUCCGCGGCCGAUUAGCUAGUUGGUGAGGUAACGGCCCACCAAGGCUAUGAUCGGUAGCCGGCCUGAGAGGGCGGACGGCCACACUGGAACUGAAACACGGUCCAGACUCCUACGGGAGGCAGCAGUGGGGAAUUUUGCGCAAUGGGGGCAACCCUGACGCAGCAACGCCGCGUGGACGAUGAAGCUUCUUGGAGUGUAAAGUCCUUUCGGCAGGGACGAAAGCCCGCAAGGGUUUGACGGUACCUGAAGAAGAAGCCCCGGCUAACUCCGUGC
rnacentral:rRNA from 1 species